rnacentral:siRNA from 1 species
CGUGAACUGGAACACAUCCA